rnacentral:rRNA from 1 species
AGUGAACGCUGGCGGUAGGCCUAACACAUGCAAGUCGAACGGCAGCACAGUAAGAGCUUGCUCUUACGGGUGGCGAGUGGCGGACGGGUGAGGAAUACAUCGGAAUCUACUUUUUCGUGGGGGACAACGUAGGGAAACUUACGCUAAUACCGCAUACGACCUACGGGUGAAAGCAGGGGAUCUUCGGACCUUUCGCGAUUGAAUGAGCCGAUGUCGGAUUAGCUAGUUGGCGGGGUAAAGGCCCACCAAGGCGACGAUCCGUAGCUGGUCUGAGAGGAUGAUCAGCCACACUGGAACUGAGACACGGUCCAGACUCCUACGGGAGGCAGCAGUGGGGAAUAUUGGACAAUGGGCGAAAGCCUGAUCCAGCCAUACCGCGUGGGUGAAGAAGGCCUUCGGGUUGUAAAGCCCUUUUGUUAGGAAAGAAAAGCAGCAGGUUAAUACCCCGCUGUUCUGACGGUACCCAAAGAAUAAGCACCGGCUAACUUCGUG